rnacentral:rRNA from 1 species
GACGAACGCUGGCGGCGUGCUUAACACAUGCAAGUCGAACGAUGAACCCGGAGCUUGCUCCGGCGGAUUAGUGGCGAACAGGUGAGUAACACGUGAGUAACCUGCCCUUGACUCUGGGAUAACUGCUAGAAAUGGUAGCUAAUACCGGAUACGACCCUCGGUGGCAUCACCAGGGGGUGGAAAGAGUUUCGGUCAAGGACGGACUCGCGGCCUAUCAGCUAGUUGGUGAGGUAACGGCUCACCAAGGCGACGACGGGUAGCCGGCCUGAGAGGGUGACCGGCCACACUGGGACUGAGACACGGCCCAGACUCCUACGGGAGGCAGCAGUGGGGAAUAUUGCACAAUGGGCGCAAGCCUGAUGCAGCAACGCCGCGUGAGGGAUGACGGCCUUCGGGUUGUAAACCUCUUUUAGUAGGGAAGAAGCGAAAGUGACGGUACCUGCAGAAAAAGCACCGGCUAACUACGUGCCAGCAGCCGCGGUAA